UUAUACUGUCUCCUCUCUCCAAUCAGUGAAACUGAUCUCCCCGUGAAGAAGCGGGGAUUCAAUUAUAAGACGAGAAGACCCCAUGGAGCUUUAAACCCAAUUUGCACCCCUACCACCCCAAACAUCAACCAAACCUCAGGGGCCUGUACAUUGGUUUUAGGUUGGGGGGACCACGGAGCAAAAUAAAACCUCCAUAACAAAUGGGCUAACACCCUUACCUGCGAUUUACAAAUCCAAGAAUCAUUAAAAUGAUGUUUAAUGACCCAAUAAGUUGAUCAAUGAACCAAGUUACCCUGGGGAUAACAGCGCAAUCCACUCCAAGAGCCCGUAUCGACAAGUGGGUUUACGACCUCGAUGUUGGAUCAGGGUAUCCCAGUGGUGCAGCCGCUACUAAGGGUUCGUUUGUUCAACGAUUAAAACCCUACGUGAUCUGAGUAGAAAACCG
rnacentral:rRNA from 1 species